rnacentral:rRNA from 1 species
UACGUAGGGGGCAAGCGUUGUCCGGAUUUAUUGGGCGUAAAGCGCUCGCAGGUGGUUCGUCGCGUCAUGCGUGAAAGACCCCGGCUCAACUGGGGGAGGUCGUGCGAUACGGGCGAACUGGAGGCCAGUAGGGGGAUGCGGAAUUCCGGGUGUAGUGGUGGAAUGCGUAGAGAUCCGGAGGAACACCAGCGGCGAAGGCGGCAUCCUGGACUGGUCCUGACACUCAUGAGCGAAAGCGUGGGGAGCGAUCCGG